GGUCCCGCCUGCCCUGUGACAAAAGUUUAACGGCCGCGGUAUUUUGACCGUGCAAAGGUAGCGUAAUAACUUGUCUUUUAAAUAAAGACCUGUAUGAAUGGCAUAACGAAGGUCAACCUGUCUCCUUACUCAAGUCAAUGAAAUUGAUCUCCUCGUGCAGAAGCGAGGCUUAAACCAUAAGACGAGAAGACCCUAUGGAGCUUUUAGACACCAGGACACACCAAGUUAAAGAUGCCUAAUUAAAGGCUUAAACAAAAUGUUCCUGUCCCAGUGUCUUUGGUUGGGGCGACCACGGAGUAAAAAGUAACCCCCGUGUGGAAACAAACCACCACAUUUUUAAAUCUAGAGUAACCACUCGAGAGAACAGAAAAUCUGACCAAGCAGAUCCGGCAAGACCGAUCCACGGACCUAGUUACCCUAGGGAUAACAGCGCAAUCCCUCCUUAGAGCCCCUAUCGACGGAGGAGUUUACGACCUCGAUGUUGGAUCAGGACAUCCUAAUGGUGCAGCCGCUAUUAAGGGUUC
rnacentral:rRNA from 1 species